rnacentral:rRNA from 1 species
ACGCACGCUGGCGGCGUGCUUAACACAUGCAAGUCGAACGGGUCUGCCCUGUUUUUUGCGGGGUGGGUCAGUGGCGAACGGGUGAGUAACACGUGAGUAACCUGCCCCUCACUUCUGGAUAACCGCUUGAAAGGGUGGCUAAUACGGGGUGUUCUGGCUGUGCCGCAUGGUGUGGCUGGGAAAGAUUCACUUUUGUGGUGUUUUGGUGGGGGAUGGGCUCGCGGCCUAUCAGCUUGUUGGUGGGGUGAUGGCCUGCCAAGGCUUUGACGGGUAGCCGGCCUGAGAGGGUGGGCGGUCACACUGGGACUGGGUUACGGCCCAGACUCCUGCGGGAGGCAGCGGUGGGGGGUAUUGCACAAUGGGCGGAAGCCUGAUGCAGCGACGUCGCGUGAGGGAUGGAGGCCUUCGGGUUGUGAACCUCUUUCGCCGGUGAAGAAGGUCCUGCUCUUUGUGGUGGGGUUGACGGUAGCCGGGUUAUGAAGCGCCGGCUAACUACGU